rnacentral:rRNA from 1 species
AGUGGCGGACGGGUGCGUAACGCGUAAGAAUCUGCCUAUUAGUGGGGGACAACUUAGGGAAACUUAAGCUAAUACCGCAAACGCCCUACGGGGGAAAGGAGGGGACCUUCGGGCCUUUCGCUAAUAGAUGAGCCUGCGUUGGAUUAGCUAGUUGGUGGGGUAAAGGCCUACCAAGGCGACGAUCCAUAACUGGUCUGAAAGGACGAUCAGCCCCCCUGGGACUGAAACACGGCCCAAACUCCUACCGGAGGGAGCAGUGGGGAAUAUUGGACAAUGGGCGAAAGCCUGAUCCAGCAAUACCGCGUGGGUGAAGAAGGGCUUACGGUUGUAAAGCACUUUCAAUUGGAAGGAAAAACUCAUGGCCAAUACCCAUGAACUUGACAUUACCUUUAUAAGAAGCACCGGCUAACUCCGUGCCAACAGCCGCGGUAAUACCGAGGGUGCGAGCGUUAAUCGAAAUUACUGGGCGUAAAGCGUGCGUAAGCGGCUCGUUAAGUCAUAUGUGAAAGCCCUGGGCUCAACCUGGGAACGGUUUUUGAAACUGGCGAGCUAUAGUUUGGGAGAGGAGAGUGGAAUUUCAGGUGAAGCGGUGAAAUGCGUAGAGAUCUGAAGGAACACUAUUGGCCAAUGCUACUCUCUGGCCUAAAACUGACGCUGAGGUACCAAAGCGUGAGUAGCAGACAGGAUUAGAUACCCUGGUAGUCCACUCCGUAUACGGUGUCAACUAGCCGUUGGCUCUCUUACAGAGUUAGUGGCGCAGCUAACGCAUUAAGUUGAUCGCCUGGGGAGUACUGCCGCGAGGUUAAAACUCCCAUGAAUUGACG